CACGUAGGGGGCGAGCGUUGUCCGGAUUUAUUGGGCGUAAAGAGCUCGUAGGCGGCUAAGUAAGUCAGGUGUGAAAACUCCAGGCUCAACCUGGAGACGCCACCUGAUACUGCUUUGGCUAGAGUCCGGUAGGGGAGCAUGGAAUUCCUGGUGUAGCGGUGAAGUGCGCAGAUAUCAGGAGGAACACCAGUGGCGAAGGCGGUGCUCUGGGCCGGUACUGACGCUGAGGAGCGAAAGCGUGGGGAGCAAACAGG
rnacentral:rRNA from 1 species